rnacentral:rRNA from 1 species
GGAUGCGAUCAUACCAGCACUAAAGCACCGGAUCCCAUCAGAACUCCGAAGUUAAGCGUGCUUGGGUGAGAGUAGUACUAGGAUGGGUGACCUCCUGUGAAGUCCUCGUGUUGCAUUCC